UAUGAUUUCUCAAUAUUUUGCUGAUGUGGCACAACCACAUUGCUUUAGGAGUCUUUUUUUUCUCACUUAGGCAGGCCCUCCUACCCUUUCUCUCUCGAAUAUUCUUCUUCCCCCUGUCUUUCUCCCUCUCUCUCAAGCCUUAACUUCCACCUCUCCACCUUCCCCUCCUAAUCCCUCUCUCUCUCUUUCGAAUCUUCUUCCAUGUCCCCUGUCUUCCCCCCUCUCUUUCUCAAGCCUUAACUUCCACCUCUCCACCUUCCCCUCCUAAUCCCUCUCUCUCUCUUUCGAAUCUUCUUCCAUGUCCCCUGUCUUCCCCCCUCUCUUUCUCAAGCCUUAACUUCCACCCCUCCACCUACCCUUUACAACAAAGGUAUUAAUUGCACAAACUCACAAUAAAGGUAAAUUUAUAUAGCACUAUUCUACCAAUCCUUAAAAAUGUAUAUUUGUAACCAAUACAUGUUCCACAUUAAAACAAGCAAAAUUUAAAAUAUCACAGUACUGUUCUAUUAUACCUUAAUAAUGUAUAUUUGUAAUGAAUACAUAUUUUCUAUCCUAAACCGAACAAAAUUUAAUAAA
rnacentral:lncRNA from 1 species